GAAUAAGGGCGUAUGGUGGAUGCCUAGACUUAAAGAGACGAUGAAGGACGUGGCUUAGCUACGAUAAGCUUCGGGGAGGCGCUGAGCGGCCUUUGAUCCGGAGAUCUCCGAAUGGGGAAACCCAACACCGUAAAUCGGUGUUAUCCCGCCUUUGGCGGGAAGGAAACCCCGGGAAGUGAAACAUCUCAGUACCGGGAGGAAAAGAAAACAAUGUGAUUCCCUGAGUAGCGGCGAGCGAAAUGGGAAUAGCCUAAACCUUACUUUUUAUUAAGUAAGGGGUUGCAAGGUAAUAGCGAAUGAAGCAAUUCUAAGUGAGUUUUAAUCUUGUUAGCUGAAUCCGUUGGAAAGCGGAGCCAAAGAAGGUAAUAGCCCUGUAAACGAAAACAUGAUUAUACUUUCAGUUAUUAUUCUUAAGUACUUCGAGACACGAAUGGCUCGGAGGAAUCUGCCGGAACUAACCGGCAAGGCUAAAUACUCUUUAAGAUCGAUAGUGAACAAGUACCGCGAGGGAAAGGUGAAAAGUAGCCCGAUGAGGGCGUUGAAAUAGAACCUGAAACCAUAUGUCUACAAGGAGUCGAAGUCUCGACGCAAGUCGUGGACGACGGCGUGCCUAUUGAAGAAUGAGCCAACGAGUUAAUUUGUGUUGCUGUCUAAGUCCGAGAGGACGGAGACACAGCGAAAGCGAGUCUUAAAAGGGCGAUCAAAAGUAUUACAAAUUAGACCCGAAGCCAGGUGAACUUGCCAUGGGCAGGAUGAAUUCCGCAGAAAUGCGGGAGGAGGUCCGAACCGGUUAGCCGUGCAAAACUAUCGGAUGACCUGUGGUAUGGAGUGAAAAGCUCAUCGAACCUGGUAAUAGCUGGUUCUCUCCGAAAUAGCUUUAGGGCUAGCGUUUGUCUUACCUUCCGGGGGUAGAGCACUGGAAGGAUUGAACAGGGGGAAACCUCGUCAAUCCUAUCAAACUCCGAAUACCGGAAGUAAUUGGCAGACAGUUAGACUGUGAGGGCUAAGCUUCACUAGUCAAAAGGGAAAGAGCCCAGAUCUCAAUCUAAGGUCCCUAAAUUUCUACUAAGUGCACUUAAGGAGGUGAAAUUUCUCAGACAACGAGGAAGUUGGCUUAGAAGCAGCCAUCUUUUAAAGAAUGCGUAACAGCUCACUCGUUAAGAGAUCUUGCACCGCAAAUAAUCGGGGCUAAGUAGAGUACCGAAGGUGAGGAUGUUCCGCUUUUAGCGGAACAUGGUAGGAGAGUGUUCGCAUCUGCUGUGAAGCUGUGUCGUGAGGCACGGUGGAGCGUUGCGAAGUAAGAAUGUUGGCACAAGUAACCACAAUCAGCCUGAAAACGGCUGACGCCGAAAAUCCAAGGUUUCCUUGGCAAUGACGAUCAACCAAGGGUUAGUCGGGCCUAAGGCAAUGGCGAAAGCCGCAGCCGAUGGACACACGGUUAAUAUUCCGUGACUUCCGUAUUUUUAAUGGAGUGACGAAGAUUAGUAUGCUAGGCGCAUUACUGGAUUUGCGUUAUUGGCGUAAGGAACGCAGGCAGGAAAAUCCGCCCGCGCCCGCAAGGGAAAUUCCAAGCGCAAAUGAAAUAUUCCGUUUAUAGCGGAAUAAAUUUAGCAAAGCAGUCUUCCAAGAAAAGCUUCUAAGCCCCGCUUUAGCGGGGAAAGAAAUACGGAAACCGUACCGAAAACCGACACAGGUGGAUAGGUCGAGAAGACCAAGGCGAACGGGUGAGUUCUUCCCAAGGAACUCGGCAAAAAAGCGACCGUAACUUCGGGAUAAGGUCUGCCCGCCGCAAGGCGGGCCGCAGCGAAAGUUUCUCUGGCGACUGUUUAUCAAAAACACAGCUCCCUGCGAACUCGUAAGAGGAUGUAUAGGGGGUGACACCUGACCAAUGCGAGAAGGUCAAAUACGGAGGGUUUUCGCCGCAAGGCGGAAGCUGGACUGUAUAAGCCCUCGUGAAUGUCGGCCGUAACUAUAACGGUCCUAAGGUAGCGAAAUUCCUUGUCGGGUAAGUUCCGACGCGCACGAAUGGUGUAACGACUGGAGAACUGUCUCGGGAAGUAGCCCGGUGAAAAUACAAUACCGGUGAAGAUGCCGGUUACCUGCAGCUAGACGAAAAGACCCCGGAAGCUUUACUAUAGCUUGGUAUUGGGUUUAGAUUUUUAAUGCGUAGCAUAGACGGGAGGCUUUGAAGUGUCGCUUUUGGGUGACAUGGAGCCGCCAGUGAAAUACCGUUCUUUAAAAAGCUAAAUUCUAACCUUUGCGGCAAAAACGCAAGGAGACAGUGCCUGGUGGGUAGUUUAAUUGGGGCGAUUUCCUCCUAAAAAGUAACGGAGGAGUUUAAAGGUCGGCUAGGCGCGGAUGGAAACCGCGCUGAUAGCGCAAUGGCAAAAGCCGGCUUAACUGCAAGACGGACAUGUCGAGCAGAUGCGAAAGCAGAACAUAGUGAACCGACCAUUCGCUUUAGAAGCGGUGGAAGAUUAACGGAUAAAAGCUACUCCGGGGAUAACAGGCUAGUUCCGCCCAAGCGUCCAUAGCGACGGCGGAGUUCGGCACCUUAGAUGUCGGCUCAUCUUAUCCUGGGGCUGGAGAAGGUCCCAAGGGUUUGGCUGUUCGCCAAUUAAAAAGAUACGCGAGCUGGGUUCAGACCGUCGUGAGACAGGUUGGUCUCCUAUCUGCUGCAGGCGUUUGAUUCUUGAGGAGAUCUGCUCUUUGUACGAGAGGAUCAGAGUGGACUAACCUCUGGUGUACCAGUUGUUCCGCCAGGAGCAUUGCUGGGUAGCUAUGUUGGGAAGGGAUAACCGCUGAAAGCAUCUAAGCGGGAAGCCCACUCCAAGAUUAGGAAUCUAAGACAGGUUGAAGAUGACAACCUUGAUAGGCUUUAGGUGUAAGUCCGGCAACGGAUUAAGCCGAGAAGUACUAAUUGUC
rnacentral:rRNA from 1 species